rnacentral:rRNA from 1 species
GGUAGUCCACGCCGUAAACGAUGCGCACUAGGUGUCGGGGGUAUCGACCCCCUCGGUGCCGCAGCCAACGCGAUAAGUGCGCCGCCUGGGGACUACGGCCGCAAGGCUAAAACUCAAAGGAAUUGACGGGGCCCGCACAAGCAGCGGAGCGUGUGGUUUAAUUCGACGCAACGCGAAGAACCUUACCUGGGCUUGACAUGCGCGUGGUACGACCUCGAAAGGGGGGAGGACCCGCAAGGGAGCGCGCACAGAUGCUGCAUGGCUGUCGUCAGCUCGUGCCGUGAGGUGUUGGGUUAAG